rnacentral:lncRNA from 1 species
GGGGGGUGGGACCUAGCGCUGGGUGACGGUGUGAGAUGGCCAUGAGUCAUCGAGGAGGUUGGGGAAAGCCGGAACAGGCGGCAUGCCCCCGCCCCCGCCUCGAGCUCAGGCCUAUCCGCUCAUCACCAAUACGACUCAUAGCCAUGACUCCCGUCCCGUUCACUGCCACGGGGUUGGCAGACGAGAUGGGAGCACGCCACAGGCCAGGCCUCGCGUAGGCGGCCCACGCCGCACAGGAGUCGCCGUACAAGGCGUGCGAAGCCCGCUGCCAGGCUAGGAGGAUAGGACAAGGAAGACCCCGACCACGGCACCGCCCCUAACCUCAAAGUCGGGGACCCCUUCAUUUCUAAAAAACAUUGUUGCUCGGUCCCUAGUCUAUAUAAAGGGAAUCAGGCCUUCUUCUCACUCUCUCGCACUCACUCGCACAACACACAUUCCCACACCGCACGAACACCUGCUUGCAAGCACCCCGUUGUAAGCCCUGUGCACACGAUCCAAGGAAUAAGACUCAUACCGAAACUGGACGUAAGGACAUUCCCGAACCAGUAUAAUUCUCUGUCCCUUGUGUGCUAUCCAUCGAAAGUGAGGAGAACGCGACGUACAUUCACUAGUCGGUGGUACGAAACACCGGCACGAUGCAAUCCAUUUUUUUUCAAAAUGUUGAUCUCACAUUUGACUAAUGUUGAAUCAAUUCGCUAAAAAUAUUGAAAUAAUUUUGGGAAAAUGUUGAAGGUAGAAUUUUUUAAAUGUUGAUCUAGCUUUCCAAAAUUGUUGAAUCUGCAAUUUUCGAUAUGUUGAUCUAUUAUUUGGAAAAUAUUGAAAUCUUUGAAAGGUUGAAUCCGUAUAGGGACGGAGCCAGAUCUCUUUGUUGACGUCAGCUGACAUCGAUGAUUUCCUACAAAAUCAGUAGGAAAUCACUCUUCCACGCUGUUUGUUCAUGGAGCUGACACACAACGUGUAAUAGAGCUGAACACCGGUAGCUCUGAUCUCUAAUUAGACCUAAUGAACUUUUAAAACCAUGUUGCUUAUCUAGCUGUACAGGAGCCCCCACACCAAACAGACCAAGACCAAAGUACUGCGGCGACCACAUGGAGCUCGUCGCCAUCGGAACACGAGUUGCUGGAGCUCCUGCAAAAACCUUUUGAAAAAACACGUGAGACCACGGAACACUGGUACGGACUACGGACUACUGGCCAACCACUGGAUGAAGCAUGGAUUUUUUUUUUCUCACUGCUAUGCAUGUUUCUGCUGUUCUUUUAUUUAUAUUUUUAUUUUCGGAAAACAAGUGCACCGUGUUUUAGAUACGAACCCACUAGUGCAUUGCCUGAGCUCGUGCUUCAACAUUUGGCCAGCCUGCACUUGCAAUAUACUCCCAGGUUCUAAGAUUAUUUUACCUUAUCAAACUCGUAUAGCUUUGACCAAAUUUAUUGAAAAAUAUACCAACAUACAAUAUCAAAUAAAUGCAUUAUAAAAAAUAUAUUCCAUGGUUUUUCUAAUGAAACUAGUUCGAUAGCGUAGAUAUUUAUGUAUUUUUACAAACUUUGUUAAAAUUAAAGAAAUUUGGCUUAUGACAAAACUAAAACGACUUUAAAUUUGGAAGGGAAGGGGUAGGCUUAACCACUUUUGGUCGGAUCUUUCAAUACCUAACCAACCUGCCAUAGUGCCAUUUGACCAAAUCUGCCCUAUAUGCAUGGAGAGGAAACCUCAGUCAUCAACUUGUCUGAAAGCUAGAAAACAGCAGUACCCGUGGACUCCAUCCAUUUGAUGUGCAUCUGUCCGCUACUUUCGUCUCUCCUGGCUUCCCUCUCGUCGGUACCCUCCUUGCGCGGCGUCGCCCCUGCUAGGAAACAACCCCCCCCCCCCCCCCCCCCCCCCCCCCCCCCCCAGCCGGCGCGCAGGAGCAGUGGCAAAUGGCAAGAGGACGCGCGCGCCACGGGGAGGAGCUCAUGGCGCGCGCCUCGGUUCGGCUCGGAUGGGACCAAUCAGCCCGCCGUCCCCGGCGGCGUGAGGCACGGGCCGUGCGCCCCCUCGCGGACGUCCUCGCUAGCGACGCCGUCAGUCGCCGAGACGCUGCGUGGGGACCAGCGGUGGGCGGAGUACAUCCUGAGGAGGUGCCGGUGAACUGGGGCUAGGAGAUCGGCACGAUCUCAACUACGUGGUGACGGCGAGCCUCGGCACGCCGGGCGUGGCGCAGAUGCUGGAGGUGGACACCGGCAGCGACCUGUCGUGUGUGCAGUGCAAGCCGGGCGCGCGCGGCGUCGUCGUGCUUCAGAAAGAAGGACCCGCUCUUCGACCCCUUCCCAGUCCUCGUCGUACGCCGCCGUGCUGUGCGGCGGGUCCGCGUGCUCGGGGCUGGGCAUCUACGCGUCCGGGUGCUUGGCGGCGCAGACGCGCGCGCAGUGCGGGUACGUGGUCAGCUACGGCGACGGGCCCAACACAACGGGCGUGUACAGUACAGCUUCGACACGCUGACGCUGAUGGCGACGGACGCGGUGGCGCGGUGCUCGGAUUCCUCUUCGGGUGCGGCCACGCGCAGAGCGGUCUGUUCACCGGCAUCGAUGGGCUCCUCGGCCUCGGCCGCCUGCCGGUGUCGCUGGUGGGGCAGGCGGCGGGCGCGUACGGCGGGGCCUUCUCCUACUGCUUCCCGACGAAGCCGUCCACCUUGGGGUACCUGACGCUGGGCGGCGGUGCGAAUGCCGCGGCGCCGGGGGUUCGCGACGACGCAGCUGCAGCGCGUGACUCCACGGUGAUCCGUCCCUGCUGCUCUGCUAUACUGUAUGGGUCUCAGUUCUUCAGGUCAAAUAUCUCCUGUCAUCUUUCCUACUGCCUCUCGUUUCUCUUUUGCUAUCUCUGAUUUUCCCCAAAUUGAGUUCAUUCAUGGUCUAGCACCAAUUGCUGUACUUGGAUUCACAAAUAAGUUCUCUAAUCACUAACCCCACAAACCCCUUUUCUUCCCCCAACAUUUUAACGCUGUUCUGUUCUUGUUUGGUUUACGAUGGUUCACUGAAAUUUUAGCGCUGCAUACUUGAAAUUGAUGUGUGGUACAGCUGAUCUGAUGUUGAUAGACUCAUUAGGGAUCAUCUAGGUGUGGAUCUUCGGGUGAUUUCGGUUUAGCAUUGUAUAAACUUGAGAAUCUAGGGAGGGAGGGAGAGAGAGAGAGAGAGGAGUAAACACCCAUACCUUCGGGCUUGGCAGGAGAGGUAGAGUAGGAAAAAGUAACCGUGGGAGCAGCGAUGCAGUACGGGCCGGUAGAGUCCAGAGGACGGCGACACGGCCGGCGGUGCUUCCCGUCACUGCAGCGUGCCCAUGAUCGGAGGGGCCUUCUAGGGUUGUUUGGUGGGUUAGUGGCGGUGGUCAAAUUCGUGUGUUGUGCCUCCCCCGACCUUUCUCCUUUUAUAGCGUUGUGUGACAGGGGUCCGCCGACCAGUGGUCGGUUGAGCGUCCCCGAUCAGGACGCGGUCAAGGGGUCCGACUCAAUCGUUGGAUUGAUUCGGAUGAGAUCAAUCCUAACAGAUGUAUGUAUUUGUUUUUAAUCAGUUACCAUCUUAUCACUACGUGUUAGCUAGCUCAUACUCUGUGUGAUGGCUCCUUAAAGAAAUGGAGGAUCAUCUAAUAUACUUUGGAACAAUGAAUGAGUAUUUGUCCCAAUUGAUUCCUUAUCAUGGAAUCUGAGUAUUGCUCUCUCUAAUUGCCAGACUAAUUUCUUUGAUACGCUUUUACUAUGUUUAUAGUUAAAGUAGGAGAGAAAGAACUUAACUAUGCAUGUCUGAAAUGCUGUAUCUCUCUUGAUUGAUUUGCUUAACUGUCCGCUACUGGAGAACAGUAGCUGCUUUUUUAUUCCAAAAUCCAAACCACAGGCACAUGUUUUUAAGGUUAUCUUAUUCAUAUCAUGAACCUACAUUAGUCAUGAACCAAAUGCAUUAUCCUAUUUUUAUUCUUAGUUGAACUCUGGUAUUCUGAACCAGAUGCUUCAGGAGUCAUAAGGGACCUUUUUGUUCCUGAACUUAAAAGGAAAUGGAGCUACAGGUCUUGCUAUCUCAUUACUUGGUGUUAUGGUGAUGCCGUAAGCUUCUUGAUUAUAUUUUUGUUCCCAUCCAUUUGAUUUUGAACACAAAACUAUUUUUCCAUUUAUCUUUCAUAUAAAUUGUAGGCAUAAUCUUUUUCUGUACUCAGCAUUAGUGGUAUCAAGAAAAAUGCAGGUCCAUUCAUGGGAUUAAAUUAACCUCUAAACCCUUCUUUCAGCUAUUAUUGAUAUGACAUCCCAUAUGUGCCAAAUUCCUCCAACCCUGCUGCUAUUGUGCCACACUAGAGUUGAGUCGGUCCGAUUUGUUGAGAAGAUAUCUAAUGCUAAUUUCAAGUAUGAAAACGCAAAAGCCUUAAUAUGAAAUUUGCUCCCAACAGUUCAGUUUCUUGCAUGAGGCAUGUAGUUUCUCUGAAAUUGAAAGUGCAUUUGCUCUUAUGGUACCUUUCCUCGUCAACAUAUCUAUCAUAUCAGUUAGUGGUGUUGUAUGUGGUUUAGGUAGUUCAGACUGUUUUUUUUUUUUGGGGGGGGGGCGGGGGGGGGGGGGGGGGGGUCCUAGAUAACAGGACCUUUUUUACAUAAGAAUAUCUAAAACCACUGAUUUGCCACAUUUAUGUCAAAAACUUAAUUGAACUAUCCAACUCCAUAUAUAAAAGGAAGGAGUGACUUCUUUUUCUGGAAGAAACACUACGCUGUUGCCAAUUCCCUCAUUUUCAUAAUAAAACUAUUGAAGAAAGUCAACGCAGUUAAGUAAAAUGUGACACUAACAUGACUGUCAAAAAUCACUCAUUGGUGCACCCUGAUGUCCAUAAUCACUCAUAUAUAGAAGCAAGGUGGUAGUAACUUUCUUUUUAUGGAAAAAAUUCUAGGCUGUUGCCAAUUCACUCAUUUUUCAUAAUACAACUAUUAAAGAAUGCCAGCACAGUUGAAUAAAGUGCGUCCAAAACCACUUAUUGGUGCAUCAAAGAUUUAUAAGGCACUGGACUUUCAUUUAAGGCAAUGGCAAUGGCAAAAAUUUUGUAAUUAGACUAUAUUUAAUACUCCUAAUUAGCAUCCAAACAUUCGAUGUGACAGGUGCUAAAUUUUAGUGGGGUGUAUCCAAACACCCCUACGUUGAAACUCUACUGGUUUUUGGCACAUGGAGUGGUAGUAAAAUAUGCUUUCUGGUUUGGAGGGUUUUCUUUUUUGAUAAUUUGGUUUGGAGUCUUGGAGAGAUAACUGCGUCAUGGAUAUGUCUCGAGUUCCCAAAGGAGAAGAGGGUUUCUUGCACGCUGUGCAAGCAUUUAUGCGGCCUAAAUCACCGUGCAUUAUCCUCUUGGGUGAGGUGCCGACCGUUGGCUCGGCAAGCCAAGCCAAAGCCACUGUUCUGUCCCUGGCCGCUGCUGCGCUUCUGCCCAAAAGCCGGGAAGGCCAGAGCUGAACAGAGACGAGGUCGUCAGCAUGUGGCUCCCUCGUGCCAUGGACUUCGUGCUCAAAACGAAACGAAACGAAAACCUGUUGGCGUCUCAUCGUCUCGUGUCCGCUACACCAUCCUUAAGCUGCCAGUUGCUUUGGAGUGCAAAAGGGGCUUGAUCAUCAGCUGCAGCACAAGCACCGUCUCUGGAUGCACGCACGUGACAUUCCUUCCGGUGGUAGUUUCUGAUUCAGUGUGUUAUGCACGCGUAUGUGAUGUGCCCAACAUGAUUGCACCAAAAACUUCCCAGCCAACCUACAGAUAUUUCGACGGCUCCCGUAUAAUUUUCACAGACAGGUGACAGAAAAAAAGCUAAGGCGAAAAUUAAGUAAUUAACCAAGGCAGAUGAAAAAUGCGUAUCACAGCGGCUGUCCAGGACAAACAAACCAAUCUUGAAGAACAGCAGAAAAGAUUCUCAACAAGUGCAGUUGGGACUUGCAAUUGACCUAGAUUCCAUUGUGCUUUCUAAGGCCUGCCUGCUCGCUGCACAAGACAAUAGCAAAAGCCGGCCGGAUCAUCCCCGGCGCUCCGGAGCGGCCCGUCGGGCGUCGUCGAUUAUCCGCACGCGGAGGUCAACGGCGCGGGCUUCGACGACUCCACGCGCGUGCUCUGCCUCAGGGACGGGAUGGCCAGCAUCGUCUUCGCCAAGCCCGGUGACGCGCGCUGGACGGUGCUGCCACUGCUACGUCAGCUCGCCGGAAGGUUCGGUCUACCUGGUGGUGCGGUACGGAGAGGCGUCGAGCACGUCGGCGUUCCCAUCCAUUGCGGCUGGCGCCAUAUACACAUACACCAAUCUCGGGGCUUCAGCGUCUAACGAUAUCGUGUCGACAAGCAGAGGAACAAAGGAGGACCGAACCACCGCAGCCGCACAAGCUCGUCUUCCAUGAACACCGGGGUUUAGCUCCGGCUGCCAGUGCCAGGCCCUGCAACUUCUCUUGUUUGGAUUGGCGUGAUUUUGUUUUGCAACCUAAAAGAUUGAGAAAAUAUUCUACUUGGCGUAAUUUAUCGAUCAAUGAGCCAAACACUCUUUCGGGUGGGGACAAAGUUGGUAUUUCUCAAAACACAGCCAACUGGAGGGCUGGGACGGAAUCUGACAGCCUUUUAUGGUAAAAUUAUCACAACAAUAAAUCGACAAAGUAACUUUAAUUUAGGAGACUAAAAGCAAAGAUCAACGACAAAUGAAAAGUACUUAAUAACACAAACAUCCAGUCGGUACAAUGUAUCUUAGAACCACAGAUUCUUCACCGAGGCAAUUCUGCCUUUGCCAUUAAGGUCUGUAAUCCUACCAUUUUGCCACUGGACACUCCCAAGGUUUGUUUUUACCACGUGAAGGGUCCCAGUGGCAAAAAGUCAAAAACCAAAAUGCAUCUGGGAUUUCAUCACUUGAUGGCAAAAGCAGAAUUUGCGCGCUCUUACACUGCAGCCACUUGGUUGUACAAGCAGCCGUAGGAUUAAGCAAAAGGUGGAUCACGUGAUCAGUUCAGAUCCUAGUAAACCUGGUAAUAACCUAAUCUAGUUUAUCCGUGAUACUUCAUGGUUCUAAGUUCAGUGUGGCGUCUGCACUGGCCUCGACUUCCUUCUUGCUCCUGAUCUUGCAUCUCCUCUUUGCUUCCUCAUCUAGGUAGACCAGGUCUUCGACGACCGCAAUGUGCGCAUACAGCAGCUCUUCCAGGUUGUCAACAGGAGCAGCCUUCUUACCUUUGCCAUCUCUCAUCUGCUGGAACUCUUCCUUACCGUGGUUUCUGCUGGAGAAAUAGUCGUUGAUUCUCAUGGCUUCCUGAAACCCAGAUAUUGUUGGCUGGAACUUCACCAGGAAGACACUCUGAUUAGCAGGUCUUCCAUGGCUAACCUUCACCUUCUCACGUGGUACCCCUAUAUCUGGAUAAACAAAACAACAUGAACAACUAUUGGAGUCAAUAGCACAAGGCUGCUAUUAACAACUAAAGAUUAACCUCUCAGAAAGCUGCAUUAUUACAAAUGCAUUCAUUUUGCUACGAAAAUACUUCCAUAAUCACAAAGGAACAAACAAGUAUGCCUAAAUAAGCCAAUGUAUCAGUCCAUUCAUAACAUCUUAAGGAAAUACUACAGAAGACAACAUAAGAACAUAUUUAGCCACAAUCAUAAUUUCUAAGGUAUCCAUAUUGAUAAACAAAAAGUUAACAAGUGCACAGGUAUGUUCUUCUGAGGCUCAGCGGAAACUAACUUGCCAGUACGCCUUCAAUUUCUUCCAUGGACACAACCUUUGCUUCAGUAUCCUUUGCCUUGCUCACGAUUGAGCUGUUAUGUAUCACAACUACUGGAGGCCACAACAUGAGAUCUCCCCUCAUGGCAUUUACUUCCUCAGAUGAAAUGGAGUGAUGGGCUUUAGAUGUGUCUGGAGCAACAAGCCAAUUCCACCCCAUCAAAACACAGAGUGCUUUGUGAAACCCUAAGGCCCCGUUUGGGUCCAAGAAAUUGGAAUCUAUUUAAUGGAGUAGGCUAAUUUAUGUUGGAAUGUGGCAUUCCACAACUUUCCAAAGUUUAGAUAUAAGCCUAUCUUAAAUUCAUGGGGUGGGAGAUGGAAAUUGAUUCUAUAGAUUAUGGUUAUUAGAUGGAAUUCAAUUCUUAUAGCACGCUCUUAGACUCGCUUCUCUAUAGUAGAAGUGCAGCAUACAAGUAUCUCUCCCAUAUCACCAACUAUAAUAUACAACUAUAUACCACAUACAAUUAUAUUAGCUUAAUUAAUUUGUGUCUAAAUUAUGAUUAUUAGGAUGGAAUUCAAUUCCAAUGAACCAAACGGGGCCUAAGUGUUUUGUCUUCAACCCUGCUUUGGAUGUAUCAUAAGCAUGUGAUAGCAAGGCAUCAAGAUCUGGGAUUUCACCACGUGAAGGGUCCCAGUGGCAAAAAGUCAAAAACCAAAAUGCAUAUGGGAUUUCAUCACAUGAUGGCAAAAGCAGAAUUUGCGCGCUCUUACACUGCAGCCACUUGGGUGUAGAAUCCAACGGAAUGGCAAGUAGGGGAUGGAGUUAAUUUUGAUGGCACAGAGAGAAUUUGCUUAGGGUUUUCCAUAUCCCUUCGUCCAAAAAUAAAUCAUUAUAUACUUCCUCCAUAGCAAAAUAUUUAUCGCUGUCCAUAGAAAAUUGAACAGAAACGUCUUUCUUCAUUGGAUUUUGAGUAAGUAACCGAGAUAGCACGGAAGAGAAUGGAAAUUUAAGUACUGGCACGUAAUGACGUAAGUAAACUCAAAACUUUAUAUAUCACUUAAAGGGAAUGGUAUAAUGUUUAGUGGCAUACAAGAAACUUUUUUCAAAGAGAAAGAUUCAUGGUGCCAGGUUCUAGCGGUUGCUUUGGAUGAACCGAAGGAACUUUUUAUUUCCUGGCCACGAGGGCAGUCCGAUCAAUUCCUGUGCCAGUGAAUAUGAAUAGAAAAUGUAAAUGAAUGAAAUGAAAGUGGUGAAAUGGGUAAAUAAUCAAGAUGGCCACGAAAUAAAUUAUACCCUCCGUCCUCAAAUAUAUGAUGUUCAGGACAAGCCAAUUAGUCCAUUUUUGAACUAAUUUGUUUGUACUAAACUUCAUAUAUUUAUGGAUGGAGGUAGUAGUUGUUUAUGUAACAUAUAAAUCAAAAUGGACACUGACUCGACAAAGAAAUAGAUAUAAACAGGGCUAGAGGUUUACAUAAAUUAAAUCUGCAUGGCAGCAUAACCACAACAAGUCCUGACUACAAAACAAGUACAUGAUAACUUAAACCACCUGAAGGAAGCACCACCAGUCUGCCAGGUAAUAGCAUCACCAAGUCAGUGGCGAGCCAUGUCGUGGUACGAUGACACACAGUUCUGAAGUAAUCUAAAGAAGAACAGACCAUGCAACCACCAUGUGCAGGCUCGAGGAUCCAAUGUGAAAAUAGCAUUCAUCGCUCCGGGCUGACUUAGCUACAAAACCAAACUUCUUCUCAAGCUUAGUGCUGCUCUCGCCAGCGUCACCUAGCUGUUCAGCCUUGAUGCCAAGGAUCAGUUCAGCCCUCUCCUCCACGACGACUACUCGGCGCUGCAGUGUGACCUGCCUAUCCUUGUUGACGACCACCUCCUUGCCUCUGGUGUCCAGCAGCACUACAUCCUCACCAAUGCUCGUGUUGCAGGCAGUGAGGCGUGCACUAAAGUUGCCUGAUCCCUUGCUGAUGCGGGCAGUGAUGGUCGCCUCCACGGAGCGCUUGACAUGAGCGUACCUGACCUCCACUGUGCUAUGCUUGCUUGAAAGCACCUCUGUUCUGGUGUAACUGAGACUGCCUCUGUAAGAGAUGUUGUUGUAUCCAAAGAAAUCCAAGCAUAAAAUCUUGUCAUCUUCAGACAAUGAACUCCCUUUGUCCUUCACUUUCAGGUCAAUCUCAAAAAUAGGCUCAUCCCACAGCAGGAUAGAUCGGCUAGGACCUGUAAGUUCCAAAAGACAAUCCUGCAUACAGUGGCACACAAAUUAAAGGCCAGCAAAUUUCAAUGGCCUUUAGGAACACCAUCACUAAAGGUGCAUCAGAAGCCAGACAAAUUAAAGGCCCGCAAAUUUCAAUUGCCUUUGGGAACACCAUCACUAAAGGUGAAUCAACAGCCAGCAAUUUAUUUCACCAGUGAUGCACAUACAAAACCACUUAAUAGCAUUCUCUAAAAUGAAGAUUUAAGGAUCAGGAAUGUGCCCACCUACUGAAAUCUUGCAUGUCAGGGCCAGCCAACCAAGAAGUGAAGUGGAUACCAACUAUAAAAACUACAUUUGAUAUACUUUUAAAAAUAUAACCAAGUUUUACUAUUUACGUUUUAAGAGCCAGCAGCAACAUGCAUAAAGUAUCUCUGAUGGAAAGGUUCUGAUCCUAAUUCACAGUAUCAACCUGUAUAAAUAUUUCUUCCGAAUGCUAGCGUGGAGCUAAACGCCAUAAAAAUCAGCUGAUAUUACCAGUGCUACCAAGCAGAUUACACCAUACACAUGCAUUGAGAUGCUUAUAGUAGAUUAAAUGAGCGAUGGAAUAGGACAGAAGUUGAAACACAGAUGUUUGAACUUGCCUGAGAGGUGAGGGUCCGGCAAUUAUCUCUGCCUCGAAUGAAGAGUUAGUUGCGCUUCCAGUCUAGGGAAUCACGCACAGCGACGAUGCCAUAGACAUCUAGUGGCCAUUGGAGGUCGCUGGUGAUCUGAUUCACCUUGACAAAGAAGACCUCCAUGGUAUCACACCCUCUCCUAGCGAGCAUCAGCGGCUACGGUGCCUUCGCCCAUCAGUACUUACUGACACGCCCGACCCGCGCUCUAAACUUUCCAGAUCCAAAAAACAAGAAAGAGGAUCGAAAACUUUUUUCGACAUUUUAUAGAAAACAAGUUCAAAGUCAAACUAACAUAUUUACACCUGGGGCGCCUAAGCCCGAUACAGCUAACUCGUCCUGGGAUCUUCGGGGCGGGACGGCUUUAUCCUCCAGAAGCUUCGCCAAGGCAUCCGCUGGGUUGAGCACCGACGCGUAGGUCCCACAGCACCUCGCCCGCUCGCCACCGUUGACACGGGAGGAUCGGCUCCGUGUAGACGAGCAUUCAAUGCAGGGCACGGCCACACUGGCUGUCCUACGCCGGUGACAAGACCCGGCUGAAGGAACCGAUCUUUGGCCGAGGGGUCCAAGGGUGAGGCUACACCCCUCAGAUCGCCCAGAACCCUUGUCAGGGGAAGGCACGCACGAACUUUUACGAGCCCACGCGCCCCGACGUCAUCACCACCCCUGUCAGAGCGACUCGUCAAGGUCAAGGAUCUGACCCAGCGCUAGAUCCCGUACGACCCUAAGGGGGUGGGACCUAGCGCUGGGUGACGGUGUGAGAUGGCCAGGAGUCAUCGAGGAGGUCGGGGAAACCCGGAACAGGCGGCACGCCCCGCCCCCGCCUCGAGCUCAGGCCUAUCCGCUCAUCACCAGUACGACUGACAGCCAUGACUCCCGUCCCGUUCACUGCCACGGGGUUGGCAGACGGGACGGGAGCACGCCACAGGCCAGGCCUCGCGUAGGUGGCCCACACCGCACAGGAGUCGCCGUACAAGGCGUGCGAAGCCCGCUGCCAGGCUAGGAGGACACAGUGUUAGAUUGAUCUCCUUCCCAAUGGGCCCAAAGGCCCAUCGGAACCCUGAUCCGCGCCCUGAUCGGGAGCGCUCACCCUAGCAAUGGGUGGUGGGCUCCUGUCGCGCUGCGCUAUAUAAACAGGGUGGGGACCCGGCUCGGCUCACGAGGUUCGCCGCUGCCAGCCGGCCCACCGACACACCUACCGAUCUAGGUUUGCGCAGUAGCGGCGGGAAGCACGACCGCCACUUCACCGGCAACCGGACUCAGCACUGCGCGUCGCUGCCUUGCGCAGACUCCACCAACCGAACCCGCGAUGGCCAGCAGCUCUGCUGCUCCCACCUCUAGGGGUGAAGGUACCCUAUCUCUCUCUCACUCUCGGCACACACCAGGAACCCUAUGACCCUCAUGUUAUUCACGAUCCCGACUAGAUGUGCAUCUAGAGAUCCUAGGCAAGGCCCUAACACACAGGACAAGGAAGACCCCGACCACGGCACCGCCCCUGACCUCGGGGACCCCCUCCAUUUCUAAAAAACAUUGUUGCUCGGUCCCUGGUCUAUAUAAAGGGAACCGGGCCUUCUUCUCACUCUCGCACUCACUCGCACAACACACAUUCCCACAGGCCUUCUUCUAAAAAACAGGAGUGCGAGAGAGAGCUGAUCCCAGGCCUCUUGGGUGUGCACUGAUCACUGAUGCUCUAAGUGGGUGUGGGAGUGCUCUGUUGGCUUGGAAGCCCCCCCCCCCCGCCGGCCUUCGGCUCCUGCCGGCGCGUCUGCCGGAGGAGGGCGGCCGCCGUCGCGUCCCGUCGAUGGUCUCCUCGACGGCUGUCGCCGCCAGGCGUGAUGAUGGUGUUUCGUCGUGGCACCUGUGUCCGUUGGGGGAGGCGGCGGAUCCCGCCAUCUGCUGACGGCCUGCGGAAGGCGGACGUCGCGUUCCUGUCGCCGGAUGCGUGGGGCGCGAGGACGGGCGCGUCUUCCUCCUGCUCCGGGCGGCGCAAGCCAUGAGUGCCCUUGCUGCGAAUCAGGGGGAUCUGCGGCCACUGUAGCCUGUGCGGUCGUGGCUACAGUGUUCCGCUCGGGUACUUGUGGCGGGUCACGUCGAGGGGCGCGGGCGCCUUUCUGCGUGCCAGAGCCGCGGUGCAUUUAUGGCGAGACCGCUGGGGGGGCCCACAAGAUCCGCGCCCUCGUCCGUCGGUCUGCGCCCGAGGUGGACACUUGUCUCGUGGGCCCGGAUGAGUCCGACCCCCUACGCCCGGGGUCGGGCGAAGCGGAGCCUUGUGGCGAGGGUCGGGCGCUCCCGACCCUGGGACCGCGGUCGCGCGAGGCGGAGUCCCGCCAUCGAGGCUCCGCCUCGUCCGACUUGUCUGCAACUUCGAUAGUUUUUUCUUUUGCGAAAAAAGAAACCCCAAGCCGUCUCGGUUCAGGCUUUUCCCGUUAAGCUCAGGGGUAUCCGACCCUGGCCUCGUUCCAGGACCGCAUACCCCUCGGGGGCUAUCAGGGGCUCCGUCCAAAGCCACUUGGCACCAUCUAAAAGAAACGUUUUUUCUUUCAAACCGAAAACUCCUUUCUAGACUUUUGGACGCAAAAAAGAAUGCGCGAACGGUACUCAGGCAAGAUUGAUCGGACUGCGAAAAAACCUACGCCCCAGCGGCUACGGCACCUUCGCUCAUCACAGCUUAACUGACGCACCCGACAACGUAUUCAAAACUUUCAAGCCCAAAAGAAUAGUAAAUGGGAUCGGAAACUUUAGCACAGCAAAGUUAUAAACAGGCCCGUAUGGCCAUCACAAAACAAGUUCGAAACUGACAUGGUUACAAUUUGGGCGCAAGCCCGGUACAGCUAGCUAACUUGUUGGAGGGUCGGCAGAAGGGACGGCCUCAUCUUCCAGGAGCUUCGCGAGGGUUUCUGCCGGGGCGAACACCGCUGCAUCAAUCUCGUCCAGCUCGGCCUCGGAGUAACCGGCGGCGUACCCUCCACUCAUCCCAGCAAAAUUGAUGCCGGAAUAGUGGGAGCCGAAGACCCCAAAAGCUCGCCGCACGCCGAUAUGAAGCGCGUCCACGGCGAUCUCCCGACUCCGGCGGCGUACCUCGAGAACACGAGCCGGCAGAGAGCUCGACCCCUCCUCCGGAACCACGCCGAAGCCGUCGCAGACGACGCGAACCGCUUCCCGCAGGGCGCCAUGCUCACCACGCUCCGCGUCGAGCAACUCCCUCAGCUUGGCGAGUUCGCCUGCACAACCCAUCCAGAAAAACCCAAAGUCAGGAACAGCCACAACAUCACGGGGACUCAGAAACGGAAAGAAGUCUCACCGUCGGCCCAGCCCUUCAGCUCGCGCUCCCGGUCGGCUCCUUGAGACACGGCGGUCUGGAGUCCUUGCACUUGCGACCAGAGGUGACUGACCUCCGCACCAAGGUCAGCCGCCACCUUCUCGGCCUCCUCCUUCUUGACCUUCUCGGCGUCCCGGUCCUGCCAAGCCUUGAGCCGCUCGCGCCGGACGCGCUCGACGGUUUUCUGGAGGGCUUCAUGCUCCCCCCUCAGCCGCGCGAGCUCCUCGGCGUCGCGGCGGGCCCUCUCAGCGGCAGCCUGGAACUCCUCGUGGUCAAGACGGGCCUUGUCGAUGACGGCUUGGAGCUUGGCCUCCGAUCGCCGCACCUCCUCCAGCGCCGCCCCCUCACGCCUUUGCAGGUCGCCAAUGGCUCCCUGGGCGGCAGCGACCUGCAUAGACAGCUCCCUGGUGCGCUGCCUCUCCGCGUUGAAACGCUCCCAGAGCCCCCGCUCCAGCCGGAGGAAAUCAGAUUUCCCCCGACUGCACUCUUGGAGAGCCUGCAAAGCAAUACGCCAUCAGGGGCAAGGCAACGGGAAAGGGACAAUCGCCAACAGGAGGGGCGACGUACCUGGCUACCAGGGAGGACGACGUUGUCCAAAGCCCCCAUCGCCGAGGACAGAGCCGCGCGGGCGUUGGCGAGGCCACCCUGCACCGCCUGCCACUUGUGCCACUCCGCGGCGUCAUCCAGGGUGAAGAGGUGCCUCGGCGGGUCCUCACGGGAUGCCCAACGCAGGACAGACCCUCUCCACGCCCUGGGAACGGUAGCAGCCAAGGCCGAGGCGGGAGCCGAUCCUGGCGCCGCCGUCGAGGUCGGCACCAUCACACCAGAAGCCGCCGGGUUCACCGACGGACCCGGCGCCUGCACACUCGUCGCCACCGAGGCCGCCGCAGGGUCGCCCAAUGGCGGCACCGCCUCCGACGCAAGCGGCAAGAUAGGUAUCCCAGCGGCUACCUCGCCCUCCGCCGCAACCACCUGUGGAGGCUCCUCCGCUCCCGCCGGAGUCCCCCCAGCGGGCCCCUCCGCCUCCGCCGCCGGAGCCACUCCCGCGGGGAUGAUCGGGGCGGAGGUCCCCGCCUCCGUCGCCACUGCCUCCUUCGCCGCGGCCGCAGGGGCGGGCACUCCCUCCUCCGUCGCCGCCGCCGCCGAUCCCGCCACGGCUGCGGGGGCAUCCGUCCCGCCUCCCGUCGCCGUCGUGUCCUCCGCCUCGUCGGCGUCAAGAUCAAUCACCUCCCCGGCCUGAGGACCCGGGGGAAUGACGCCCUGCGCUGUAGGGGCAACCGGGGGAACCGAGGGCGGAAAGGGGCCCGCUCCUCCUCCCGCCACCGAUGCCGCCGUCGCUCCGUCAGCCGCCGUCACGGGGGCCGCCUCCACGGAGGGGACUGCGGCCUCACCAAGGGCCUCGCCGCUCGCCGCGGGCGGAGCCGCGGUCCGUCCCCCGGAGGAGGACGACGCCGUCAACGCCUUCUUGGGCGCCAGUUGCAGGACGAGGCCACGAGGGGCGGCGCUGCACAUCAACAAGUAAACGUCAGCGGGAACAAACACGGGAAGGGAGAGGAAUGAGACGCGUGAGGAAGGCCGACUUACGUCCCUGAGACGCGAGGGCGGCGCGCGCGCUUCGCUUCGGAGCCCGACGCCGACCCCGGGACAUCUGGCAGCGGCCGCUUGUCGCCGCUUCGCGGCCCUCCGGUCUCGGGCGCGACGGCGGAGGCGGUCUCCGCAGUCCCCCUGGGAGCGCCCUGGGCGGACUCCUGGGGGGCGCCCAGCGCCGGCUCCUGAGAGGCGGCGGGGGUAGUCUCCGAAGACUCCUGGGGGGCGCCUAGCGCCGGCUCCUGAGAGGCGGCGGGGGUAGGCUCCGAAGACUCCCGGGGGGCGCGGCUCCGCGCCGGCUCCAGAGAGGAGCCCCGUGACGACCCCUGGGGGGCACCCCUUGCCGGCCCCUGGGGAGCGUCCCGCGCCGGCUCCUGGGAGGCGCCCCGAGCCGACCCCUGGGGGGUGUCCCGCGUCAACUCCUGGGGGGCGCUCCGUGCCAACCCCUGAGGCGCAACCCCGGGGUCCUGCGGAACCGGGGCUCGGGCGGACGCCUCCUCCGCUUCACCCCCCGCGGUCGUCCGCGGGCGCACCUCCCGAAUUACGAGUGCGCCCGAUCGGAAGGAGGAAAUCAGCUCCUCUUCAUCGUCUUCCUCAUCUUCAUCCUCUUCAUCAUCAUCGUCAUCGUCGUCGUCAUCGUCUGACACGACCGGCCCCCUCCGCCGCCGUUGGAACUCCUCGGCGGCCUUCUUCCUCUUCUUCGCCGUCUCCUUGUCCUUGCGACGCUUCUGCGCCUCGGCAAGGAGACGGUUGCGCGUCCGCCGCUCAGCGUCCUCCGGCACAGGCGGGAGCGAGUCCACGACCCGGGUUAGCGUGCCCUACGAACGCAAAACGGCUCCACGUCAGGAUGACAAUCGCAAGACGCAAAGAAAGGAGGUCGACGCCCCAACCCCUUACCAGGUCUAUGAAGCCCGCAUCCGGGCGCAUCGGCGGGUGCCCGGGAAUCGGGUACUCGGCGUCCUUGUCCUCCAGCGCCUCCCGAAUCCGUUGCCGGAUUUCGGAAGCCGCAAGCGCACCCGCCGCCAAGACGGUGCCCUCGGUCGGCGCGUCGGAAGUCAUGGCGGCAAGCGGGCGGAUCCGGAGCAUCAGCGGCGCCACUCGCCGGGCAUGGUACGCUCCGAUGACCCCGGCGCCGGUGAGCCCGCUCCUCUUCAGCCGCUCGAUGGCCUGCAGCAGGUCGAAGAUCCGUUUCUUCUCCUUGUCCACCGGCCCGUACGCCCACACCUCCGGCGCCACAUCGAUGGUGCGGCCGGUGAACCCCGGCAGGGGGGAGUACGAGUAGUUCUUCACAUAGAACCACUGGUUGUGCCACCCCUUGUGGGACGCCGAGGUCUUCAUCGCCAUAUACUCCUUGGAGCGAGUAUGGCGGAGGUGGAUCCCGGCGCAUCCAAUCGGCACCGGAGGCGACCGCUGCUGGCUCCCCCGCUUCUCCGUCUUCUGGUACAAACUCACUGUGAAAAAGUACUUCCACAGCGAGAAGUUGGGCGCAAUGCCCAAGAACCCCUCGCACAGCGCGACGAACGCCGCAAUAUGCUGGAUCCCGUUGGGAUUAAGGUGCUGGAGCUCGAGCCCGUAGUAGUGGAGGAGCCCACGGAAGAAGCGGCUCGGAGGAGAAGCGAACCCCCGCUCGUGGAAGUGAGCGAAGGAGACGACGUAGCCGGAGGGAGGCGUCGGCACUUGCUCCGUCCCCGGCAGUUCCCACUCGCCCGCCGCCGUCCUCUCACAGAGGAGGCCUUUCCGCACUAGGCCCUCGGCGCGCGAGGGGGUGAAAUGGGAGAUCCCCCAGGAACCCAUCACCAGAGGAGGAGGAAGCUCAACGGUGGUGGGAAGAAAGGGCGCGGCUUGGAGCGGAGGAAGGCGAAGCAGACGCGGGUGAGCUAAGCGCGACGCUGAAGGACGAAAGGGCUCAAAUGCAGAAGGCGGGCGGAACCAGCGAGGCGGGCUCCCGUUUUUAUAGGAAAGGUGCGGGGGAAGCCAAAUCGACGCCCCUGCCGCCAUAAAUGCGGCGCCAGGUACGCCCCUGCCACGCCUACUUCCUUUUCGAAAAUCGCGCGCACGAUCGACCGCGAAGACAUCCUAGUAUCCUCCUCAAUUCGCGGGACGACGCCCCCCAUAACUCCGUCUCCCGAAAGGCACGCCCACGACGUCUCCCACGUUCGGCCCAUACGCAACGACCGCUCCGUUCCGGCCCAAGGCCCACCGAAAGGUAACAAAGGGAUACGGGGCUGAAAACGCCCCUACGGCCCAUUACGGUCCAGAGGUUCGAAGGCUGGCCCGCCACGGGUUCGACAGCUGCCUCAGGACACCCCCCGAGCGAGGGGUGAGAAGGGACGGGUCCGCUAGCGGCCAACACCCGGGCGAGCGAAAGCCAAGGGCGUCCCGACGGAGGGGAUGAGCCGUGCCACGCUAUCCUCGUCGGACGAACCGUGGUGCUCAUGGAGCUACUAUCGGGCGAGUUCGAGUGGGGUCCCGGUCCCCGUUCGGGAGGUUCCAGCUUGGGCCAAGCUGGUGGCGUACCCCAGGCUCCGAUCGGCCAGUUCAUAUAGUUCUCGAAUCCGUUCGGUUGGAUCCGGGGGCUCGUUGCCUUUCUUCGGGGAAAAACCAUGAACUUUGAUGCCGGUUCAGACUCGAACGUGAGAUUGAGACGCCCUGGGCUAUUGCGCGCCUGGGUGAUGGUCGCUUGCGGACCCGUCUCCUCUCACCCCUCGCUCGGGGGCAUCCUGUAGCGGUUGUCGAACCCGUGGCGGGCCAACCUUCGAACUCCUGGAUCGUAAUGGAUCGUAAUGGGCCGUAGGGGCGUUUUCAGUCCCGUAUCCCUUUCUUACCUUUUGGUGGGCCGGAGGCCGCGUCUUGGGCCGGACGUGGAGGGUGCAGCGCCUUGGGCCGGACGUGGGGGACGUUGUGCGCGUAUCCCCGGGAAGUGAAGCGGUGGAGGGCGCCGACCCGCGAAUCGAGGGAGGAGGGGAUGUUUCUGCAGCCGGUCGUGCGCAUGGUUUCCGAAAAAGAAGCGGGCGUGGCGGAGCGUACCUGGCGCCGCAUUUAUGGUGACGGGGGCGUCUGUUCUGCUUCCCCCGCGCUUUCCCUAUAAAACGAAAGUUUCGCCUCGCCGGUUCCGCCCGCCGUCUGCCUUCAAACUCUUUCGCCUCCUCGCGCGCCCUCAGCUGUCCUGCACCCGCUUCGUCCUCCUCCGCCCAGCGCCGCACCCUUUCUCCCCAUCCCCCGUCGAGCUCCUCUCCUUCCGGCGAUGGGAUCCUGGGCGAUUUCCCACUUCAGCCCCUCGCGCGCCGAAGGCCUAGUGAGGAAGGGCCUCCUCUGCGAGAGGACGGAGGCGGGUGAGUGGGAGCUUCCGGGGGCGGAGCAGGCGCCGGCGCCGCCCGCCGGCUAUAUCGUCUCCUUCGCCCACUUCCACGAGAGGGGGUUCGCGACUCCGCCGAGCCUCUUCUUCCGCGGGCUCCUGCAUUAUUAUGGGCUUGAGCUGCAGCACCUCAACCCCAACGGGAUCCAGCACAUCGCGGCGUUCGUCGCGCUGUGCGAGGGGUUCCUGGGCAUCGAGCCCAACUUCUCGCUGUGGAAGUACUUCUUCACGGUCAGCCUGUACCAGAAGGCGGAGAAGAAGGGGAGCCAGCAGCGGUCGCCUCCGGUACCGAUAGGGUGCGCCGGGAUCCACCUCCGCCAUACUCGCGCCAAGGAGUACCUGGCGAUGAAGACCGCGGCGUCCCACAAGGGGUGGCACCAGCAGUGGUUCUAUGUGUAGAACUACUCGAACUCCCCCCUGCCGGAGUUCACCGGCCGCACUAUCGAGGCGGCGCCGGAGUUGUGGGCGUACGGCCCGGUCGAUAAGGAGAAGAAGCGGAUCCAUGGCCUGCUGCAGGCCAUCGAGCACUUGAAUGGGAGGGGGUUGACCGGAGCCGGAGUCAUCGGGGCGUACCACGCUCGGCGGGUGGCGCCGCUGAUGCUCCGGGUCCGCUCGCUCGCCGACAUGACUCCGGGCGCGCCGACCGAGGGUACCGUCCUUGCGACGGGUGCGCUCGCCGCCUCCGAGAUCCGGCAGCGGAUUCGGGAGGCGCUGGAGGACAAGGACGCCGACUACCCGGUGCCCGGUCACCCUCCGAUGCGCCCGGACGAGAACUUCAUUGACCUGGUAAGGAUUUUGUGCGCCAACCUUAUUUUUUCGUGUUUCUUUGUUCGCCGCUCUGACGCGGGGCCUUUUCGCGUUUGCAGGGCAGCAUGACCCGGGUCGUGGACUCGCGCCCGCCGGUGCCGGAGGACGCCGAGCGUCGGCUGCAGAACCGUCUCCUUGCUGAGAAGCAAAAGCGCCGCAAGGACAAGGAGACGGCGAAGAAGAAGAAGAGGGCCGCCAAGGAGUUCCCGCGGCGGCGACGAGGACUCGUGUCGGACGACGACGGCGACGGCGACGGCGACGACGACGACGACGACGAAGAGGAGGAAGAGGAGGAGGAUGACGAGGAGGAAGAGGAGUUUGUCCUGUCCCCCCGGUCGGGCGCGCUCGUUAUUCGGGAGACGCGCUCCCAAACGGCCGCGAGGGAUGAAGCGGGCGGAUCGUCCGGCCGGGACUUGGUCCCGCAAAGCUCUGGGGCCGUCCCCCAGGAGCCGGCGCGGAGUGCCUCCCGGGGGUCUACGGAGCCCGCCCCCGUCCCCACGCCUGCGGCCCAGGAGCAGAGGAGCGGCGACAAGCGGCCGCUGCCGGACGCCCCGGGGUCGGCGUCCGGCUCGGAGGCGAAGCGCGCACGCCGUCCUUGCGCUGGGGGAACGUGAGUUGAAUUUCCUCGCGAACCUCGUUCCUUUCCAUGCAUUAUGUUCGUUUCCGCUGAUGUUUGUUGAUUGUUUUUGCAGCGCCGCCCCUCGAGGUCUCGUCCCGCAGCUGGCGCCCAAGAAGGCGCUGCGGGUGUACUCCGCCCCUGCGGGGCGCACCGCGGCCCCACCCGCGACGACCGGCGGGGUCCCUGGUGAGGUCGCGGGUCCCACCGCGGAGGUGGCCCCGGCGGUGGCGACCGGUGGAGUGGUGCCGCCGCCGGGCACGGGAGAGGGCGCGGGCCCCGCUCCGCCUUUCGCUUCUUCGACUGACCCCGCGGUGCAGAGUAUCGCUCCCGGGGGCCCUCAGGCCGGGGAGGUGAUCGACAUCGACGCCGACGAGGCGGAGGGAACGGCGGCGGUGGAGACGGGGACGGAUGUCCCAGCGGCCGCGACGGGGACGGCGGCGGCGACGGUGGAAGGGGAGCCUGCCCCCGCGGCCACGGCGGGGACAGCGGCAGCGGGGGAGACUGGGACGCCUGCCCCGGCGGCUGCGACAGAGGAUGUGGUGGCGACGGAGACGGGGACUUCCGCCCGGGGAGCUCCGGCGGAGGUGGCACCGGCGGCGGAGGCGGAGGUGCCUGCUCCAGAGGCCCCGACGGGGGCGGGGACGCCUACCUCGGCGGUCGCGACGGAGGGCGAAGCGGCCACGGGGACGCUCGCUCCGGCGCCCGCGUCAGAGGCGGUGGCGCCGACUGGCGGGCCCGCGGCGGCUUCGACGGGGGCAGGGGCGCGUGCCCCGGGACCGUCGGUGAGCCCGGCGGCUUCGGGGAUGGUGGAGCCCGUUUUGACGGCGGCGUCGAGGUCGGCUUCCGCCUCUGCCUCGGGCCUCGGCCACUCCCGUUCCCAGUGCGUGGAGAGGGUCCGUCCUGCGUUGGUCGUCCCGUGACGACCCGCAGAGGCCCCUCUUCACGUUGGAUGAUGCCACGGAAUGGGGCAAGUGGCAGGCGAUGCAGGGCGGCCUUGCUGACGUCCGCGCGGCUCUGUACUCGGCGUUGGGGCAGAUGGACGUCGUCGUCCUCCCUGGUAGCCAGGUAUGGUACCUUCUCCGUUGGUGGUUGUAUCCCUCCCUGUUGUUUUACCCCUGAUGUCGUAUUGUUUUGCAGGCUCUCCAAGAAUGCAGUCGGGGGAAAUCCGAUUUCCUUCGGCUGGAGCGGGGGCUCUGGGAGCGCUUCAACUUGGAGAGGCAGCGGACCGGGGAGCUGUCCAUGCAAGUUGCCGCCGCCCAGCAGGUCAUCAACGAUCUGCAGAGGCGCGAGCAAGCGGCUCAGGAGGAUGCGCGGCGGGCGGAGGCCAAGCUCCAGGUCGUCGCCGAGAGGGCCCGCUGCGACCGCGAGGAGUUCCAGGCCGCUGCCGAAAAGGCCCGCCACGACGCCGAGGAGCUCGCACGGCUGAAGGGGGAGCAUGAAGCCCUUCAGAAGACCGUCCAGCGCAUCCGGCGCGAGCGGCAAAAGGCUUGGCAGGACCGGGACGCCGAGAAGGUCCGGAAGGAGGAGGCCGUGAAGGCGGCGGCCGACCUUGGGGCGGAGGUCGGUCAGCUUCAAGCGCAAGCGCGGGAGUUUCAGGCCUCCGUGGCCCAGGGGCUCGACCGGGAGCGCCAGCUGAAGGCCCAGUCCGAGGGUAAGACUCUGUUCAUUUCUUUGUCGUUGUGAUGUUGCGGUGAUUUUCGAUUUAGCGGGUUCUUCUGGGUGAUCCUUGCAGGCGAGCUCACCCGGCUGAGGGAGGCGCUCGACGCGGAACGCGCUGAGCACGGCAACCUGCGGGAUGCGGUCCGCGUCGUCUGUGACGGCCUCAGCGUGGUCCAGAAGGAGGGGACGAGCUCGCUGGCGACUCGUGUCCUCGGGACCUACCGCCGAGCCCGCGAGAUCACCCUGGAGGCGCUCCACACCGGCGUGAGGCGAGCCUUCGGGGUCUUCGGCUCCCACUACUCCGGCAUCAACUUCGCCGGGAUGAGCGGGGGGUACGCCGCCGGCUACUCCGAGGCUGAGCUGGACGAGAUCGACGCGUCGGUGCUCAACCCGGCGGAGGCCUUGGCGAAGCUCCUGGAGGAUGAAGCCGUCCCUCCCGAAGAUCCCCGGACGAGUUAACUGUAUCGGGCUGGCGCCCAAGAUGUUUGGAUACGAGGUGCAAAACUUGAGCUAAUUAUAAAACUAAUUGCAGAACCCUGUGCUAAUUCGCGUGACAAAUCUAUUAAGCCUAAUUAAUCCAUCAUUAGCAAAUGGUUACUGUAGCAUCACAUUGCCAAAUCAUGAACUAAUUAGGCUUAAUAGAUUUGUCUCACGAAUUACACUCCAUCUGUGCAAUUAGUUUUGUAAUUAGUCUAUGUUUAAUACUCCUAAUUAGCAUCCAAACAUUCGAUGUGAUGGGUGUUAAACUUUAAAUACGUCAGUUUCAGACUUAUUUUGUGAUGGCCACAGGGUCUUUUUCUAUGGAUUGUCGUAAAAAAGUUUUCGAUUCGAUUCCCUUUCUUGUUUUUUGGACUUGGAAAGUUUAGAGUGCGUUGUCGGGCAUGUCAGUAAGCUUUGAUGAGCGAGGGUACCGUAGCCGCUGGGGCGUAGUUUUUUUCGCAGUCCGAUCAAUCUUUGCCUGAACACCGUUCGUGCACUCUCUCCUUUUUAUGCUCAAAAGUUCAGAAAGGGGGUCGGCUCGGAAAGAGAGCGUUUUGAGAGGGUGUCAAGUGGCUUUAGGCCGGAGCCCCUGAUAGCCCCCGAGGGAUGUGCGGCCCUGAAGCAGAGCCAGGGUCGGAUAUCUCUGAGUUCGAGGUGAAACUUGAAUGGAACCAUCUCAAAAUUCUUUUUUCCGUAAAAUUUUUUAAAUUUUCACAAGUGUGUAUGCACAGAACUUGGAAACGAAAGCUAGGGGUAGAAGCGUCUUAGCUGUUCUAUGUUCCAGGUGAGCCGCCCCUCUGGGGGAGGCCCGCCGGCGCGCGCCCGGCUCGCCGCCAUCCCGGCGGUGGAGCCGGGGAUGGGGGGACGAGCGGGCCAGACGAGGAGAGGGAUCAGCUCGAUCCCCUCCCCGGUGGCGAGGAAGUCCAGACUCCCGAAGCGGAUCAGGGAGCCCGGAGCGAAGCUGGCGUCGUGGUUGGCCAUCUGAAGCCGGAGAUGUACGCGCAAAUAUGCGCGUAAGGCUUCGGAUCGUGGCGUGGGAGACACGGGUUUAGACUGGUUCGGGCAAGGGAACGCCCUACGUCCAGUAUCGGGAGCUGCUCGUGUUGACCACGCAGGGUUCUGUAGUAGGCUCUAGCAGGGUGCGCUCGUGCGUUCUGUUGUCUAGGGAGCGCUAUGGUGUCUUCGUUGUGCGUUUUGCCUCUCCUGUCUCAGGCCCCCGAUUCCUCUUUUAUAGCGUAAGGAGGCCACCGGAGUUACAGGUGAGACCGAGUGUGGGGAGCGGUAAAGAGAUAAACAUGGCUAGGUAAAAAAAAUACAACGCGAGGGGGGGGAGCAAGUUCCCAGGUCGCCGGCGUCCUCGCCGGCCUUCGGCUUCCACCGGCGCGUUUGCCGGAAGAGGGUGGCGGCCGCUGCAUCCUGUCGAUGGCUUCCUCGGCGACUGUAGCCGCCGGACGUGAUGAUGGCGUUUCGUCGUGACCCCCGUGUCCGUUGGGGGAGGCGGCGGAUCUUGCCAUCCUGCCGACGGCCCGCGGAGAGCGGACGUCGCAUCUCCGCCGCCGGGCGCGCGGGGCACGAGAGCGGGCGAGGCUUCCUCCUGCUCUGGGUGGCCAAUCGGAGAAGGUCGUAGCUACUGUAGCAAGUACUGUGCGGCCGCACAUGGGUACUUGCGACGGGUUGCGUGGGGGCGCGGAUAUCCUUCCCUCUGACACCUUUGCGGCGCAUUUAUGGUAGAAUCGACAGGGGGACCCAUGAGAUCCGCGCCCGAGGCGGAUACCUGUCUGGUGGGCCCGGGUCAGCCCGACCUCCUAUGCAAGCGGAGGCCUUCGGCGGGGGGUCGGACGCUCCCGACCCCUGACCUGCGUUCGGGCGAGGCGGAGCUUGGUCUCACGGGGGUCGGGGAUGCCUGACCCCAGGAUACCGGGUCGGGCGAGGCGGAGCGUGAUUCUCGUCCCCCGUGUUGGGCCGACGGCAGUCGUUAUUCCCUUAGGCGGGCCUGGGCCUUCGCGUUUUUGUUGUUUCCAUGGGCUUCGAAGGGUCGUUAAUAUUUUCCCCUGACAAUAGCCCCCGAGCCUGUGGUGGAGCGGGGACGCUCCUCCAGAGGCUGCUGUCAUCGUCCGCAGGGGAUCCUACAUCUAUCAACUAAUAAUGUUUCGUACUUGGCAGCAGAUUGCCUUUUCUCUCUCUGCAAUGCGCUCCUCCUAACUAACGCGACCUUUAAUUUCUGAAUGGUCACACGGCCACAUGAUCGCAUCUUACAGGACCUUCGUUUCCGAUCCAUCGUGCAGAGAGAAUAUAAUCAUAUUCCCGCCCGUGACAAAACCAAAUGCAAGAAGCAUAUAUAUACUAUGUAAUACCCUGGGUACGGAAUAUACCCGAGCUCACCCGCGGAUCCGGCUCCCCCUUUUUCUCCCGCCCCUUCCGCCGGUUUUUUUCUCAAACGGUUCCCCCGGUUUUUUUUUCCAGCUUUUUUCCCGAACGUGGGUCUUCCGUCGUGGGUGGUGUUCAGUUCCCGUCCAUCCACUCCUCAUGCUAGCGGACGCUGCCGCUCGCCAUUCGCUGCCGCCGUCGCUCGCCAACCGCCGCCGCCGCCUCCACCGCCGACUCCGCGUCCGGCAUCCAGUCGCCGCUGCUCCCCAUCCGCAGCCGCCUCAAUCUCUCCCCAUCCGUUUCCGCCGCCGCUCGCCCGCAGCUGCCGCGCCGCCCCUCUCCUCCUCCGCAUCGACGCCGCGCCGCCCCUCGCAUCGACCCCGCACCGCCUCUCUCCUCCGCGUCGACCCCGCGCUGCCCCUCUCCUCCUCCGCAUCGACGCCUCGCGCCCCUCGCGUCGACCCCGCGCCGCCCCUCGACUUCGACCGCCCGUCCAAGUUCCUGGUGGUUUGCCUCAAUGCCAUCCGGGAUGAGGUGGCGCCCGAGGACGGCGGCGGCAGCAGCAUCCACGGCGGCGGCGACUGGGGCGUGGAGCUCUGGAGGUCCUGCUCCUCCCCGGCGCCGUCCGACGUGCUCGACACCAGCGGCGCGUGCGCCACGAUGGAGCAGACAGCGUGGCUCGUCUCCACUGCCUGCGACAUCGUCGCCAGGAAGGAGAGGCUUGGGAUGGUCGUCUCCUGCCCCUUCCUGCUGUACCUCGUCCCGUCCCAGGAGAAGGCCGCGCAGGUUGGUACUGCCAUUUUGAUGCUUACUGUGUAUUUAUGUGUAUAGCUUUUUAAUGAAUCAAAUGUGAAUGACUUAGUUAAUUUGGUGUCGUUUGGGCAGGUGCGAUCGAUAUGCAAACCCCUGAAGCCUCUUGGGAUUCAUUCAGUGAGCUUGCAUUCUGGCGCUUCGGUUGAACAUCAGAUCUCUGGGUAUGUUUUUUGUUCUUUUAUUUGUGUUAUCCUUUGUUUAUUGCAAAUGGAAAAAUGUGUUAUCUGUUAACCUAGACGCGUAGUGCUUAUGCAUAUCAAAUGGCAGCUGAUAUAUUGGUGUUAAUUCAUUUUGUUUUGACUGCCCUACCAGACUAAAAACUUGUGAGCCGGAGUAGACUAAAAAUUCUACCACAUUAAGCAGGAUUAUUAGGACCUUACAGUGGCAGUUGGUUCGAUUGAGUACUCGGAGUCCAAACCGGCAGCAACGGAAAUAUUCAGGUAAUAAAGAGGUUUGUUUCUUUCUUCUGGAAUUCCAUAGCCUGGUGAGUUUGGGUGAAACGAGGGGGGCUGAGUGAAUUAUAAGAGGAUAUUGGCCUGCUGCAACUUGAAAUUCUAGUGUUUCCAAACUGACAUUAUGGCAUGAUUCACUGAAUUCCUGUUUCAGAUGGGCAUGAUUCACUUAACCUUCUGCUUCAGGUCUUUGAGAAUUGCAAUUCUUGUAACAAUUACCCCUACUAACUUAACCGGCAUGCUUAUGUUGCAUGUGCUAGAUGCUGUUAUUCAAGCCUUCCAUCAGAAUGGUGAGAUUGUCUUGAGACCUGGACUAAAUGCUGUUUGAGUGCGAUAGAACCAUGAUACAAAUUCAUUAUCAACUUGGUAUGAGGGUCUAAUGACAUGGCACUAUGAUUACAGCUCGAGUUAAGUUAAGACAUGAAGUCAUCAAUGAUUCCUUCUAUUAAAUUUACCCAUCUGGAUAUGUAGAUAUGCUUUUGUGAUAUGGUUAGAUUUUCUAAUUUAGGCUAAUUAAGAUUAGAGCUCAUAUUGUCAUCUGAAAUGUUGGCAGGAGGCAAAUACUGAAAUAUUGCCAUUUUUUAAUUUGUUGUUUGGUUUGGUUUGUCUUCAUUGUCGAAAAAAGACUAAAAAUCAUGUUUAUGAACUACUAGGAGAUAUGCUUUGUUUUUUCUUUGGAGUUUUGGACUCCAGAUUCUCUAACUAGCAAUGAAGUGCAGAUAGGAAAUGCUGACAAACACACAAUCUUAUUUAUGCUAAUGCCUCUCAUCAAUACUGUUAGGUUCUGACUCAUUUGAAGCUUAUUCACAGAAUACCAGGGUACAGAAUAGCUUAGAAAUAAAAUUAUUCUGAUCAUCAACAUCAACUCAUUUGAAGCUGUGACCUGUAAUGACGAGAUAAAUAGAGAUACUAAAACAUCUGACUGUGUGCUCUUUACGCAACAUGCCUCAGAACCUAAUCCUAGUAAUCUAUAAUAGUGCUUUACUGCCACCUAGGUAAAAAAAUGUUUGAAACCCACAACCCUCUGAUUGUACCAUUUUGUUAUCUUGACUUGGGAACACUUCGACAACUGCCUAUGGUAUACUGGCUAGCAUUUGGUUGUGAUACUGAAGAUCCUAUACUCUUUCCUCCUAGGAUGAUUCAGAAAUAGUUGCCAUGAUAAAAGAAUUGUUGGAGACUCGCAUUCGGCCAGCUGUUCAAGAUGAUGGUGGUGACAUUGAAUACCGAGGGUUUGAUCCGUUAGUCUUUCUCUCCCUCCCCAGCAUGCUGUCUGCUGAUAUUGAAUAUUUGGAUUCCUUCGUCUCACUAGGAUACUAUCCUUUCAGAGAAACAGGGAUAGUUAAGCUUAAAAUGCAAGGUGCCUGCAGGGUGUCCAAGUUCAUCCGUCACAUUGAAGUCUGGGAUAGAAAACAUGCUUAUGCACUAUGUACCUGAGGUAACGUGAUGUGAUUUAUACAUUCUUGCUGACGGUCGUUAAUGCUUGUGGCUCAUGUGAAAGAUGUUUUCUAUUUGAUAACUAGAUUGCUUGUCAUGUGCUGAUAUUCAGGAAAUGAGUUCCUAUUGCAAUUGUUCCAUAUAAUUUGUUUUUCAUAAAGGGGGAGAUUAUCCAUUGAUUCUCAGUGGCAGGCCUUAAGAUUUCUAUUGUGCUAAUUUGUCAUACUGCUUUGGCAGGUGAAAGGAGUAGAGCAAGAGUUUGAUGGUGACGAGGAAGCUGAGCUGGCUGGACAGAUGGAAUGAGCUUUUUCAGUUAUAAGGGUCAACGCAUCCUCUUCAAAUGUUGCCGCUCGCCAUCCGCAGCUGCCCCCGCCGCCGCUCGCCCGCAGCAGCCACAGCAGCAGCUCAAGUGGCAGCGGCUGAUGCUGGGAAGCUGAUUGAUAUCAAUGCACCAGUGGAUCUGGGAACAGAAUCAAAUGUGCUGCACACAUUUGAGCUCCCUAUAUCAUUGUCUGCUCUGCAAGAAUUUGGCGGAGCCAAGGGCCUGUUUGAUGGUUACAUGGUUAGAAAGCAGAAGAUAGAAGCUACAAUGGGGUAUCCGUGCUUCUGCAGGCUGCUCAGCGGAUUCAACUGUCUGCCUGGCUUCAGUGCCUCUACAAUUGUCCAGAUCAUCCGCUUUCCCUUAUUUUCUUAGAAACAACAUGCAGUCUAUACAGUUUCUUCAUAAAUAUUACCUACUGUAUGACUGAUUAAUGUUUAUACAUGUGGAGUGUGUUGUCAUCUUAUCGUUGUUAUUUGACAAUAUGCAAGUUGAUGAUUUGAAUCCAUAGUCAGUCCAUCCAACACAGCACAGAGGAUAGGGCCUUCCUCCUCAAAAUGACGAUCUGCCCUCCUGCUGACAACAACCCCUGUGCCCUCAUCCAAUGUAGCAAAGUUGGACUGCAUGCAAAUUGAGCACACAAUUCAGCGAUGGGAUUAAUACAUUUAUCAGUUGAUAAGAAACAUUAAAUUUUGUCCAGGGAUAAAAAGGAAGAAAGAAAACAUAGGUGAAACAUGCUUCUUUCCGCACUACAGCCGGUCAAAUUCAAUGAUCCAAGCCAUUUCUUAGAAGAGCUACAGACCAAGAUCUGACAAAAAGUGUUGGCCAAACUUAGUUAUUGCAUGCACACUCUUGAAUGAUCUGAACCAUUGCUAACUACCUAAAAUUACAGCCUAAGAGUCUAACGAAACUGAGCAUCAAUUUACAACGCAAAACAGAAGACUGAAUGAUGAACAAUAACUGCUGGGCAUACAAGUUGACAGCAGAAGGAGCCAGCUUUAGCAAUAGAACGGCAAACUAUGAUCUGAACAAAUCGAGCUACCACUACUUCAGCUGCAAUCCGGUGCUACCCAAGAACGGGGUGCCGAUCUUGACACAACAGACAUAGCAAAUGCAUCAUUCAGGAGAACUGCAGCUUGCUGAUUCAGAGUUUGUAAAAAAAAUCAAGUACACAACCUUGAGGGCGAAUCAGCGGCGUCCUGCUCGGGAAGACGGAGGCAGGGUUGAAUACGAGUGCGUCGAUUCCGGGGCCGCGGCGUCGUCCUCCUCUGGGCAUCGCUGCCGGCGGAACAGCGGCGGCAGGGUCCGGCUGGUCGGGGCGUCGUCCUCCUCUGGGCGUCGCUGUGUCCUGCUCGGGGAGACGGCGGCGGGGUUGAAUACGGGUACGGCUGGUCGCGCCGUCGUAUUCAACCCGAGCGAUGCGAGGGCGGAGAAUACUGCUGAGCGGUUCCAACAUAUGCAAACGUCCUGGGAGCGAUGCGGGGUUGUUGGUGCCCGUCAAAAAAAAAAAAAAACCCGGACGUCCUGCGGGGUUCUCCGGCUGCGGGGUGCUGGGACGGGGCUCGGGUACAGAAUAGGCUAUUCUGUACCCUGGGUACCAAAUAGGGAGGCCUCAUAUAGGGAAUUUUGAUGGCGUGAAUUAAUUUUUUAAUGGCAUACAGGGAAUUUGCUAUAGGGUUUUCCAUGUCCCUUCGUCCAAAAAUAAAUCAUUAUAUACUUCUUUCAUAGCAAAAUAUUUAUCGCUGUUAAUUUUUUCGAUACAUUUGACCAUUCAUUUUAUUUAAAAAUUUAUUGUAAAUGUACGAAAAGAUAAGUUGUACUUAAAAUACCUAUGAUGGUAAAGUAAGCCACAAACAAAAAAAAUUAAUGAUGCUUAAAUAAUUUUUGAAUAAGAUAAAUGGUCAAAUGUCAUGACUAAGUGUCAGUGGCAAAUAUUUUGAUACGGAUAUUAUCAUUCAAAAUCUGUCAAAAAAAUAAGUUAUUACACCUAAUUUGGUACGUGCUUGUAUGCAUACAUGUAUGCAUCAGCCAACUGGCACCAAAAUAAAUAAGGUCAUAAGGUCAUUUUAACUCCUUGUUUUUUUAAUCCAUCCUACAAUUUCUUGGGUGAUUUGUUUUUUAGACAGAGGGAGUAUGCAUGUUUGUCUAAUUUGAUCAUAUCAUAUCACGAGACGAAUUAAUAUCAUUGUCAAAUUCCUUAUGAACUAUCCAAAUCCAACUAUUUAGGCAUGUUGUCUUUUCUUUUUCCUUAGCGUAAAUUUACGGCAUGCAAAGUAAUUGAGACUAGCAAAUGUAUUUUGACCAGUUAUCUUUAAGCUAAUUAAGUAGGCCCUCGUGGUCCAAAGCGAAGGAUUGCACUUAUUUUAGGAUUUUUUUUGAAGUGUUAGAAUUGCGGUUUUUAUUAGGUGUGCAGGCUCGAGGAUCCAAUGUGAAAAUAGCCUUCAUCUCUCCGGGCUGACUUAGCUACAAAACCAAACUUCUUCUCAAGCUUAGUGCUGCUCUCGCCAGCGUCACCUAGCUGUUCAGCCUUGAUGCCAAGGAUCAGUUCAGCCCUCUCCUCCACGACGACUACUCGGCGCUGCAGUGUGACCUGCCCAUCCUCGUUGACGACCACCUCCUUGCCUCUGGUGUCCAGCAGCACUACAUCCUCACCAAUGCUCGUGUUGUAGGCAGUGAGGCCUGCACUAAAGUUGCCUGAUCCCUUGCUGAUGCGGGCAGUGAUGGUCGCCUCCACGGAGCGCUUGACAUGAGCGUACCUGACCUCCACUGUGCUAUGCUUGCUUGAAAGCACCUCUGUUCUGGUGUAACUGAGACUGCCUCUGUAAGAGAUGUUGUUGUAUCCAAAGAAAUCCAAGCAUAAAAUCUUGUCAUCUUCGGACAAUGAACUCCCUUUGUCCUUCACUUUCAGGUCAAUCUCAAAAAUAGGCUCAUCCUACAGCACGAUAGCUCGGCUAGGACCUGUAAGUUGCAAAAGAGAAUCCUGCAUACAGUGGCACAUAAAUUAAAGGCCAGCAAAUUUCAAUGGCCUUUAGGAACACCAUCACUAAAGGUGCAUCAGCAGCCAGACAAAUUAAAGGCCCGCAAAUUUCAAUUGCCUUUGGGAACACCAUCACUAAAGGUGAAUCAGCAGCCAACAAUUUAUUUCACCAGUGAUGCACAUACAAAACCACUUAAUAGCAUUCUCUAAAAUGAAGAUUUAAGGAUCAGGAAUGUGCCCACCUACUGAAAUCUUGCAUGUCAGGGCCAGCCAACCAAGAAGUGAAGUGGAUACCAACUAUAAAAACUACAUUUGAUAUACUUUUAAAAAUAUAACCAAGUUUUACUAUUUAUGUUUUAAGAGCCAGCAGCAACAUGCAUAAAGUAUCUCUGAUGGAAAGGUUCUGAUCCUAAUUCACAGUAUCAACCUGUAUAAAUAUUUCUUCCGAAUGCUAGCGUGGAGCUAAACGCCAUAAAAAUCAGCUGAUAUUACCAGUACUACCAAGCAGAUUACACCAUAUACAUGCAUUGAGAUGCUUAUAGUAGAUUAAAUGGGCAAUGGAAUAGGACAGAAGUUGAAACACAGAUGUUUGAACAUGCCUGAGAGGUGAGGGUCUGGCAAUUAUCUCUACCUCAACUGAAGAGGUAGUUGCGCUUCCAGUCCAGGGAAUCGCGCACAGCGACAAUGCCAUAGACAUCUAGUGGCCAUUGGAGGUCGCUGGUGAUCUGAGUCACCUUGACGAAGAAGACCUCCAUGGUAUCACCAGGUCCAGCAAUUGCUGGCAACAUCGGUAUGUCCGUGUAGCACAUGGGAGGGUACUGGGCUGAAAAAGGAAGGAGGUUAUUUGUUAGUCCAGUCAUCUAUACCUAGACAUCAUAAUUGAUUGAUGAUGAAGCAAACAAAUGCUGUGCAUAAGGAAAAACUGUUACUCGUAUAGCUGCAUAUGAUAAAAUGGCUUGGAAAGGGGAUUUUUUUUACUAUAAACAUUUGACAAACAAUGUAAUUAGGAGCAAAUAUACGGGGAAAUCAUAUAGAUCUCAAGCCAAUAUGGGAUUGAAACGGGGUUCAUAUUAACAUUUAAUAUUAUCUUUUAUUCUUUCUAAAAUAGAAUCAGUAGGUUUUGUAAACAACAGGAUCUAAAACGGAUGACCCACAUCAUGACGUUUUUUCUAACCUCCUACCAUUGAUCUCAAGCACCAGUCCCCAGCAAGUUCACGCGUCUAAUCAUGCCUCCUUGAUAUAAGAAAAGAAACAAAUGCUACGGAUUUGAAAUUACGGUUUUUGAGUGGAUCCUAAUCCGUUGGCCACGACUGAAGAAAGCUCCAACAAGAUGAUCAAGACGAGGAAAAGCUGAUCAAGACGAGGAAAAGCAAGAGAGAUGUGCAGACGAAUACGUACUCUCAGCCUCGAAGGGGAUGGCGUCGUUUCUGCCGAACAUCGAGAGCCAACUCUUGCGGUGCAACUCAAAGCAACCCUCCGGCCCCAGCUCCUCCUCCUCCUCCUCCUCAUCCAUCUCCAUAGCGCUGUGGUGGUCGCCGUUGUUGGCCUCGCGCGGCCUUUUAGCAUUGCCGCCCUGAAGCACUUGACCCGCGGCCUUCUCCAGAUCCAGAUCAGACCUCUUGUGGCCGUGGCCGUGGCCGUUCUCACCCAGCUUCGCCUCCAGAUCCAGAUCAGACCUCUUGUGGCCAUGGCCGUUCUCACCCAGCUUCGCCUCCAGAUCCAUCGCCUCCAUAUUCCACCGCCGGGAAGGUUAGGGUUUUUGCCCCGCCGCCGAAGGGAAGGCUAGCGAGAUGCCUCUAGAUCUCGGAUUGGUGUUGGGACGGCCGGGGUGGGCUUGUUGACUGAUGAGGUGAGAGAGGCCCGCGGGCUGCUGGGAUCAGUAAAGGGCCUGUACAUUUCUCCCGGCCCGUGGUGGAUGACACGGGGAUGGCCCAAAGCUGGAGCUUGAUGAUUAGGGCCCUGUUUGAGUUAUCUGGCAUAAGGGGUUGAUGGGCUUACGGGGUGUUUGAUUCCCUGUCACAUCUUGGCAUACCUAAGCAAGUUUGAUCAAUUGGUAGGUGUUUGGUUGGCCACUAACUUUAGACAAUAUUCUUUUUGAGCUCCACAUGUCAUAGAGUUAAAAAAAUAUAGCAAAAUUCUCUUUGCUAUGGUAAAAUGUGGCUUCAAAUUUCUUUAUUUUGUAGUUUGCCACACUUGACAAAGGAUAGAUGUAGCAAAUGGUGGCUAGCAACCAAACAUCAUCGCUGACUUGAGAUUUGUGGCCGGGUAGGCUCCAGUGCAUAGAGCGAGUAGCGAUUUCUGUGAAAAGAGUGCGGUCUCAGCUCAGGCAACAACAUUAGCGUGUUUGGUUGGCACUUGACAAAGGUUAGGUGUAGGCACAAUUAAGAUUAGACAAACUGAGCUAAACGCUGGAAUCAAAUUUGUCAGUAAAAAAUUAUAACAUGUGGGGUAUAGAGCUAGGAUAGUGCACAGUGAAUCAAAGUGGCAUCAUAGAUGAGCUCUUUUACGAUGCACGAUACUAGGCUAUACUAGUGUUCGAAAGGGAUUAGUAUAAAAACAUCCGAUGGUUAAGAUUAAUUGUAUAGUACUAAAACUUCACGUGCGAUAUGGGUAGCAUACAUAGGUAGUAUAGAUGUAUAGAUAGUACAGGGGGUAUCAUGGUAAGAUAACACAAAUGGUAUCACUAUAAUAUUUUUUUGACACUAGCAUAAAGUCUAAAAUGUCAUUCUAUUCGAAAUAUCACUUUUACAAUGUAACCAUUACUAAAUUAUCCACAUAUAAUAAUAGACGUAUAUAUACCACUACGUAUUAGUGUUGUGCACAUGCAUCAUCAAAUCGUAAGUCCCUAGUUAUAAAAAAACUGGUACCUACAUAUAGGAUUUGUCUAUGCAGCAUAGGGGUCUUGGAAACGGCACAAGCGGAUUUUUUUGAAGGAACAGGAGGACGAAACCCCUACUGAAGUGCAUUGAAAUAAAAUCAAGUUACAGAAGAAAAAUGGAGAUCGGUGUGAAGUGAAAGAAAACAGGAAAGAUUACAGGGCCUCUAGCCAAGCCAUAGUGGCAGGGUUCCAAGCCGGUUUUGCCCGAUAUAGACAGACAGUGGUCAAUUCUUCUUUGAAUUUUCUAUUGCAUCCUUGCACCCACGGUGCAGUAUUAUUGAAGGUCCAGUCAUUCCUCAUAGACCAAAUAGCCCAAGCCAUCAGAAUUAUGACUUCCAUGUAAAAGGGCACAUUCAGUUUUUCAUGAUAGAGUUGAAAAUGUAAAUUGGCGGCCUGGCUGUGUUGACCACAAUCCCAAUGGAAGCCCAGCAAGCUUUGGCAAAAUUGCUUCUUAAGAAUAAGUGUGGCAUUGUCUUCCUUUUCUGUAGGAUGCAAAGCUCACAGGUAUAGGUAUCCAAAUGCAUGGUUUUCCUGCCAAUAAUGUCUUUGGUGCUCAACCUGUCUUUAAGUAGUAGUCAGAAGAAAACCUUAUGUUUCAUUUGACAUUUGGACUUCCAUAUCCAUCUAUAAAUCGGGUGAGUGUUUCUCGUGCCCGUAAGAACUUUGUAAGCUUUUGCUACCGAGAAGAUAGGGCUGCCCCAGAUGUAGGUCCAUUGAUCUUUAUCAUGGGAUGCCCUCUCGUUUGCCAGUCGGUCUGGAGAAUCAUUAAUUGCUGUUGAGCCUCUUCCGAAAGGAGGAGAUGAAAAUUUUGCGUUAGCGGUUCUGUGUCGGUGGCCUCCUUGAAUGAGAUCGGUUUAUUUCUGGCGUGUGAGAACAACUGUGGGAAAUCCAGGGAUGGCACCUGUCCAUAGAUCCAUCUGAAACCCACACCGAUGCCAUCCCUUUGAAUUUGUCCAGUAGUUUAACUAUGUCUCUCCACCAGAAUGAGCCCUUUUUAUGCUGACCAGGCAGUUUGCCGUUAUUGUAGUAAUUAUCCCAAACUAGAUGAACCCAGGGAAUGUCAGCUUUGUUAAAAGAACUUGUAUAGAAACUUAGGAGCAGGACGUCAUUUUGGGUGUUUAGGUUGAUAACUCCCAGCCCUCCUUGCGGUUUUGACAGGCACACCAUAGGCCAAGCUGCCUUAGAUGGUUUUUUGGAGUUCAAGUCCUAGCCUCUCCAAAGACAGUGCUUUCUAUAUUUGUAAAGCUGCCUGAUGACACCCUUAUGAAGCUUCAAGGUUGCCAUGUGAAAGAUUGGGGAGGAGGAGAAGACUGAGUUCACCAGUUCAAGUUUACCUCCCUUAGUAAGCAAGUUUGAUAUACCUCCCAAACUUCCCUGCACCCUCUUUAUUAAGGGCAUGAACCCUGCAAUGUUGGACUUUGUCGUGCCUAGUGGCAAGCCUAAGUAUGUAAAAGGGAGACUGCCAACUUGGCAGUUGAACAGCAACGAUAGUUCUUGUGAUCUUUCUUCCGAAAUGUUAAGAGGAACCAUAACUGUCUUGUUAUAAUUUAUCUUGAGGCCAGUUGAGUUCGCGAACUGGUUAAGGAGAUGCUUGAGAUGUAGGAGCUGGGAGGGGUCAACUUCCAUAACCAGUAAUGUGUCAUCUGCGUAUUGAACAAUCGGGAAGUCUUCUCCAGCUCUUUCGGGAAUUGGCAGUUUUAAGGUUCCUUGUAUUUUAGCAUUGUUCAGGAUUGACUGAAGAAGGUCGGCUGCGAGCACAAAUAGAAGUGGCGAUAGGGGAUCCCCUUGUCUAACCCCUCUCUUGCAAUGGAAGACUUUCCCUGGAACCCCAUUAAGCAGCACUGAAGAGGUCCCAGAGUUUAAGAUAUCCUUUAUCCACCCGAUCCAUCUACCCCCGAAGCCUUUAUGCUUGAGAAUGUCCAAGAUGGCUUGAUGCUCAAUUCUUUCAAAUGCUUUUUCAAAGUCCAGUUUGAUGACAACUAGUUCUUUCUUGGAUGUUUUACAUAUAUGCAGAAAUUCAAAUGCCCAAGCUAAACAAUCUUGAAUGGUUCUAGUCUUUAUGAAACCAUAUUGGUUUCUGUGUAUCAAUCUUAGGAUUACCUGUUGUAACCUUUCUGCUAGAAGUUUGGUUAUAAGCUUGAUGGUGGAGUUUAGCAGGGAAAUUGGUCUGAAGUCUCCAACCUCAAUGGGGCAAUCUUUUUUUUGGGAUCAGAGUAAUAUAGGAGGCAUUUAUGCUCUGAACACAGACAUUUCUAUCAUAAAACCCUUCACACAGUUUGUAGAAGUCUUCUGCAAUUAAGUGCCAGCAUCUCUUGAGGAAUUCCCAGUUGAAACCAUCUGGGCCUGGUGACUUGUUAUUGGGCAGUUCUCCAAUAAUUUUAUCAAUCUCCUCCUUUAUAAAGGGUGAUUCGAGCCAAUCUAGGUCCGGAUCUGGAGUUAUCAAAGAGGAUAGAUCAAAAUACAUGUGACUGAACUCUGAUCUCCCAUUCGUUCUUUAAAGGCUUCCCAUAUGAUCUUGGCUUUGUCAUCAGGCCCUGUGGCAACUUGGCCAUUGGUAUCGGUCAGUGAAGAUAUAUAGUUAAUUCUAUUUCUGACUGAGGCUUUUGCAUGAAAAAACCUUGUGCACUUAUCCCCCCUUUUGGCCCAAUUUAUGGAGCUUCUUUGUUGCCAAUAUAUCUUUUGUUGCUGGAGCAGGUUUUGCAGGUGUGCUUUGAUGAGUUCUCUGAAGUUCCAUUCUUGGAGGGUAAGGUCUCUGAACUCUUCAAUGAGGUCUAUUAAUUGAAUGGUGUCUUUGGUGUUUUGUAUCACUUUAGCCAGGUUCGGGAGUUGGGCCUUCCAGAUCCUGAAGAUUUUCCUUAGGUUCUUGAACUUGGCCCCAAUGGCCUUAGCCCUAUCUGUACCUGUAGUCUGAUUUGUCCAUCCUUGUUGAAGAAUGCUUGGGAACUGAUAAUGUUCUAGCCAAUAAUUCUCAAAUCUGAAAACCUGUGGCCUUGGAAUACUUGUAGAGAUCGAUAUGACACAUGGUGUAUGGUCCGAGAAAUCUCUGGAUAGCGAUGAAGCAAAGGUGUUUGGGUAGGAGGUUGUCCAAUGGCUAGAUAUGAAGAACCAAUCUAGUCUUUCCAAGAGGGGAUUUUGUUGCUUGUUUGACCAGGUGUAUUUGCAUCCUUUGAGCUGGAUCUCUGUUAGCCUUAGCCUACUGAUAGCUUCAUUAAAGAGAAGCAUUUCCUGGAUAUUUCCUCCCGGUUUAUUUUUAUCUUCCGGUUUCCUAAUCAAGUUUAAAGUCUCUAACUAUUAACCAUUUUUCCUCCUCAGGCAUGUCAACAUGUUUGAACCAAUCAAUAAAAGCUAGUUUCCCUUCUGGCGUGUAGGGUGCAUAAACGUUUGUGAGAAUCCAUUGUUCCCCUGACAGCUUCAUUGAAACUCGAUGAAAUGGGCAUAGUUGUUUUGGAAUAUAGGUUCCCCUUGUCGCACCCGGUUUUAUAACAAAACCAAGUGCUACCUAUAUGUAUGCCAAGAUCUAAUUUCAUAUAUACAGUGACAUCAUUAGUGAAUAACAGCAACAGUAUCACGUAAAAAGAUAAAUAAAGACUUACAAGACUAUCAGAGAAAGACAGCUGUCGUUGUCAAGAUUAGCGGAUCAAGACUUAGACUAAGGGGGUGUUUGGAACACCCCUGUUAAAGUUUAACACCCGUCACAUCGGAUGUUUGGGUACUAAUUAGAAGUAUUAAAUAUAGGCUAAUUAUAAAACUAAUUACACAGAUGGAGUAUAAUUCGCGAGACGAAUCUAUUAAGCCUAAUUAGUCCAUGAUUUGACAAUGUGGUGCUGAUGGAUUAAUUAGGCUUAAUAGAUUCGUCUCGCGAAUUAGGAUAGGGUUCUCCAAUUAGUUUUAUAAUUAGCUCAUGUUUAGUCCUCCUAAUUAGCAUCCGAACAUCCGAUGUGACACUGUUAAAGUUUAGCACCUCGUAUCCAAACACCCCCUAAGACUUAGACUAGUAAAUUUCUUUUAUGCGCGUAAGGUUUGAGAUGGUGGCGCGGGAGACACGGGGUUUAUACUGGUUCGGGCAAAGGAAUACCCUACGUCCAGUGUUAGUGUUGCCCACGCGGGGUUCUGUAGUAGGGGUUACAAGGGUGCGAGAGAGGGAUCCGGUCCCAAGUCUCUUGGGUGUGCACUGAUGCUUUUAGCAGGGUGUCUCCAUGUGUUCUGUUGGCUUGGAGGCGUUAUGGUGACUUGAGUUGUGCGUCGAGCCCCCCUGUCUCAGGCCCCCGAUCCUCCUUUUAUAGCGUAAGGAGACGACCGGGGUUACAGGUGAGACCGGGUGUGGGGAGCAGUAAAGAGUUAAACAUAGCUGGGUAAAAAUACAACACGGAGGGAGGAACCGAGUGGUCCGAGUUCCCAGGUUCCCGGCGUCCUCGCCGGCCUUCGACGUCUGCCGGCGCGUAUGCCGGAGGAGGGUGGCCGCCGUCGCGCCCUGUCUAUGAUGAGGGCGUUUCGUCGCGACUCUGGUGUCCGUUGGGGGAGGCGGCGGAUCCCGCCGUCCUGCUGACGGCUUGCGGAGAGCGGACGUCACAUCCCUGCCGCCGGGCGCGCGGGACGCGAGACGGGCGAGGCUUCCCUCUGCUCCGGGCGGCGCAGGCCAUGAGUGCCUUGUGGCGAAUGGGAGGAGGUCGCAGAUACUGUAGCUUGUACAGUGCGGCCGCGCAUGGGUACUUGCAGCAGGUUGCGUGAGGAGCGCGGUCAUCCUUCUUCCUGACAGACCUGCGGCUCAUUUAUGGCGAGAUCGACAGGGAGACCCACGAGAUCUGCGCCCGAGGCGGAUACUUGUCUGGCAGGCCCGGGUCAGCCCGACCCCCUACGCUUGGGGUCGGGCGAGGCGGAAACCUGCGGCGGGGGGUCGGACGCUCCCGACCCUAGACCUGCGGUCGGGCGAGGCAGAGCUUGGUCUUCCGGAGGUCGGGAAUGCCUGACCCCGGGAUACGGGGUCGGGCGAGGCGGAGCGUGAUUCUCGCCCCCCGUGUUGGGCCGGUGCCAGUCUUGUUACCUUAGGUGGGCCUGGACCUUUACGUUUUGUUGUCUCCAUGGGCUCGGGGGGAUCGUUAAUAUUCCCCCCCAACAGUAGCCCCCAAGCCUGUGGUGGAGCGGGGACGCUCCUCCAGAGGCUGCUGUCAUCCCCAACGGGGAUUUCCUGUCGUUCCCUUCUGUCUGAGAGCCUUAAGUCGAGACCGCCUGCGUGGCCUUUGGUUGCGAGGCCCCGCGCGUUGCAGGGGACCGGUCGACUUUCGUACGUUACCCCGUUACCCCUCAAGCGUCCGUUCGCUGGGAUGGAGGGGGCGAGCCGUGCCACGCUAUCCUCGCGUGGACGAUCCGUGGUGCUCAUUGAGCUACUAACGGGUUGAUUCGAGUGGGUCCCGGUCCCCGUUCGGGGGGGGGGGGGGGGGGGGGGGGGUCCGGCUCGGGCCAAGGCUCCGGUCGGCCAGUUCAUAUAGUUCCCGAAUCCGUUCGGUCGGAUCCGGGGGCUCGUUCGUUGCCUUUCUUCGAGGAAAAACCAUGAACUCUGAUGCCGGUCGGGACUCGAAUGUGAGAUUGAGACGCCCUUGGGCUGUCGCGCGCCCGGGUGAUGGCCGCUUGCGGACCCGUCUCCUCUCACCCCUCGCUCGGGGGCAUCGUGGGGCGGUUGUCGAACCCGCGGCGGGCCAGCCUUCGAACCCCUGGAUCGUAAUGGGCCGUAGGGGCGUUUUCAGCCCCGUAUCCCUUUCUUACCUCUUGGUGGGCCUUGGGCCGAACGUGGAGGGAGGCCGUGCCUCAGACCGGAUGUGGAGGAGGCAGUGCUUUGGGCCGGUCGUGGGAGACGUCGUGCGCGUGCCUUCCGGGAGUUGAAGUGGUGGAGGGCGCCGACCCGCGAAUCGAGGGAGGAGGGGAUGUUUCCGCUGCAGGUCGUGUGCACGGUUUCCAAAAAAGAGGCGGGCGUGACGGGGCGUACCUGGCGCCGCAUUUAUUGAGAUGGGGGCGUCUGUUCUGCUUCCCUCGCGCCUUCCCUAUAGAACGAGGGCUUCGCCUCGCCGGUUCCGCGCGCCAUCUGCCUUCAAGCCUUUUCGCCUCCUCGCGCGCCCUUAGCUUUCCUGCGCCCGCUUCGUCUUCCUCCGCCCAGUGCCGCACCCUUUCUCUCCAUCCCCCGUCGAGCUCUUCUCCCUCCGGCGAUGGGAUCCUGGGCGCGUUCCCACUUCGGCCCCUCGCGCGCCGAAGGCCUAGUGAGGAAAGGCCUCCUUUGCAAGAGGACGGAGAGGGAUGAGUGGGGGUUCCCUGAGAUGGAAGAGGUGCCGACUCCGCCCGCCGGCUACGUCGUUUCCUUCGCCCACUUCCACGAGAGGGGGUUCGCGACUCCGCCGAGCCUCUUCUUCCGCGGGCUCUUGCACUACUACGGGCUUGAGCUGCAGCACCUCAACCCCAACGGGAUUCAGCACGUCGCGGCGUUCGUCGCGCUGUGCGAGGGGUUCCUGGGAAUCGAGCCCAAUUUCUCGCUGUGGAAGUACUUCUUCACGGUCAGCCUGUACCUGAAGGCCGAGGAGAGGGGGAACCAGCAGCGGUCGACCCCGGUGCCGAUAGGGUGCGCCGGAAUCCACCUCCGCCAUCCUCGCGCCAAGGAGUACAUGGCGAUGAAGACCGCGGCGUCCCACAAGGGGUGGCAUCAGCAGUGGUUCUACGUGAAAAACUACUCCAACUCCCCCCUGCCGGAGUUCACCGGCCGCGUCAUUGAAGUGGCGCCGGAGGUGUGGUCGUACGGCCCGGUGGAGAAGGAGAAGAAACGGAUCACCGGCCUGCUGCAGGCCAUCGAGCACCUGAAGGGGAGGGGACUGACCGGUGCCGGAGUCAUCGGGGCGUACCACGCCCGGAGGGUGGCGCCCCUGAUGCUCCGGGUCCGCCCGCUCUCCGAGAUGACCCCCGGCGCGCCGACCGAGGGCACCGUCCUCGCGACGGGUGCGCUCGCUGCCUCCGAGAUCCGGCGGCGGGUCCGGGAGGCGCUGGAGGACAAGGACGCCGAUUAUCCGGUGCCCGGCCACCCUCCGAUGCGCCCGGACGAGAAUUUCGUCGAUCUGGUAAAGAUUUCGUGCGCCUGUUUCCUUCCCUCGCGUUUCUUGGUUCGCCGUUCUGACGCGGGGCCUUCAGUGUUUGCAGGGCAACAUGACCCGCGUCGUCGACUCGCGUCCGCCGGAGCCGGAGGACGCCGAGCGGCGGCAGCAGAACCGUCUCCUUGCCGAGAAGCAGAAGCGGCGCAAGGACAAGGGUCUGAACCCCGUUCCGCCCUCUGCCACUUCGGCCGACCCCGUGGUGCAGAGUAUCGCUCCCGGGGGCCCUCCGGCCGGGGAGGUGAUUGACCUCGACGCCGACGAGGCGGAGGAAGCGGCGGUGGCGACGGAGGGAGAGUUUGCCCCCGCGGCCACGGCGGGGACAGCGGGAGCGGAGGAGGCGGGGACGCCCGCCCCGGCGGCUGCGACGGAGGAGGAGGCGGUGACGGGGACUUCCGCCCGGGGAGCCACGGCGGAGGUGGCAGCGGCGGUGGAGGCGGAAGUGCCUGCUCCGGAGGCCACGACGGGGGCGGGGACGCCUGCCUUGGUGGCCACGACGGAGGGCGAGGCGGCCACGGGAACGCUUGCUCCGGCACCUGCGUCGGAGGCGGUGGCGCCGACGGGCGGCUCGGGACGCGUGUUGGCGCCGGCGGUGGCCGCGGCGACCUCGACGGGGGCGCGUGCGCCGGGACCGUCUGUGAGGCCGACGCCUUCCGGUGCGGCGGCGCCUACCUCGUCGGCGGCGUCGGGGGCGGCCGCCGCUCUUGCCUCGGCCACUCCCGUUCCCAAGGCGUGGAAUGGGUCUAUCCUGCGUUGGACGUCUCGUGACGACCCGCAGAGGCCCCUCUUCACGCUGGAUGACGCCGCGGAGUGGGGCAAGUGGCAGGCACUGCAGGGCGGACUCGCUAACGUCCGCGCUGCUGUGUCUUCGGCGUUGGGGAAGCUGGACGGCGCCGUCUUCCCCGGUGGCCGGGUAUGGUAUUCUCCCCGUUGGUUAUUUUCUUACCGUUACUCUGUCCCUCAUGGCGCAUUGUCCUGCAGGCCCUCCAAGAAUGCAGCCGGGGAAAAUCCAAUUUCCUCCGGUUCCAGCGGGGGCUCUGGGAGCGCUUCAACUUGGAGAGGCAGCGGACCGGGGAGCUGACCAUGCAGGUUGCCGCCGCCCAGCAGGUCAUCGACGAUCUGCGGAGGCGCGAGCAGGCGGCGCAGGAGGACGCGCGGCGGGCGGAGGCCAAGUUCCAGGUCGUCGCCGAGAGGGCUCGCUGCGACCGCGAGGAGUUCCAGGCCGCUGCUGAAAAGGCCCGCCACGACGCUGAGGAGCUCGCACGGCUGAAGGGGGUGCAUGAAGCCCUUCAGAAGACCGUCGAGCGCAUCCGGCGCGAGCGGCAGAAGGCCUGGCAGGACCGGGACGCCGAGAAGGUCCGGAAGAAGGAGGCCGAGAAGGUGGCGGCCAACCUUGGGGCGGAGGUCAGUCAGCUCCAAGUGCAAGCGCGGGAGCUUCAGGCCUCCGUGGCCCAGGGGCUCGACCGGGAGCGCCAGCUGAAGGCCCAAUCCGCGGGUAAGACUCCUUUCGUUUCUUUGUCUUUGUGGUGUUGCGGUGGUUUCUGAUUUGGAGGGGGUCUUUCUGGGUGAUCCUUGCAGACGAGCUCGCCCGGCUGAGGGAGGUGCUUGACGCGGAGCGCACUGAGCACGGCGCCCUGCGGGAUGCGGUCCGCGUCGUCUGCGACGACCUCAGCGUGGUCCAGGGGGAGGGGACGAGCUCGCUGGCGACUCGUGUCCUCGGGACGUACCGCCGGGCCCGCGAGAUCGCCCUGGAGGCGCUCCACACCGGCGUGAGGCGAGCCUUUGGGGUCUUCGGCUCCCAUUACUCCGGCAUCAACUUCGCCGGGAUGAGCGGGGGGUACGCCGCCGGCUACUCCGAGGCCGAGCUGGACGAGAUCGACGCGUCGGUGCUCGACCCGGCGGAGGCCUUGGCGAAGCUCCUCAAGGAUGAAGCCGUCCCGCCCGAAGAUCCCCGGACGAGUUAACUGUAUCGGGCUGGCGCCCCAGAUGUAAAUACAUUAGUUUCAGAAUUGUUUUGUGAUGGCCAUAGAGGCCUUUUCUAUAAAUUGUCGUGAAAAAGUUUUCAAUCCCCUUUCUUAUUUUUUGGACUUAAGUUUAGAGC